rnacentral:rRNA from 1 species
UACGAAGGGGGCUAGCGUUGCUCGGAAUCACUGGGCGUAAAGCGCACGUAGGCGGAUUGUUAAGUCAGGGGGUGAAAUCCUGGAGCUCAACUCCAGAACUGCCUUUGAUACUGGCGAUCUUGAGUCCGGGAGAGGUGAGUGGAACUGCGAGUGUAGAGGUGAAAAUUCGUAGAUAUUCGCAAAGAACACCAGUGGCGAAGGCGGCUCACUGGCCCGGUACUGACGCUGAGGCGCGAAAGCGUGGGGAGCAAACAGGAUU